GCUGGUCCUGGCACCGCCCCGCUCCAGACCCCGCCCCCAGCGCCGCGCGACUGCUGUUGCACCUGCGCUCACUGAACCCGCCCGGCCCCGGUGCUUCCGGAGCUUCUCAGCUGGUGGUGGGUAACCCCUGGCGCGUCCCGUUCUGUAUUUGGUAUGAUUUCACUUGUGCGCACCAUGCUGGGCUCCCUGCAUCUGAAAUUUCCCCCUUCCUCGACUCUGGAAAGGUAGCCUUGCUAAAAUAUCUCGCGUCCUCCAAAUCGAACCGCUCCUUAUCAUUUUCUUUUUGUCUAUCAUUUUUUCUCGGUUACAGCCUUUCUAAUAAUGCUCCCUUUUGCUACAUUCAUUUCUAGAAGUCGUAUUUAACUUGCAUUUCUAGCAAUAAGAAGGAGAUGAAACCGCGGAAGCUCUCCGCUACAGCACACCAUUUCGUCUGCGGGGUUCCGACACCGAGAAAAAAGGCGCGCCGAGACCCACCUACUCUGCACCUCUGCUUGUAGCCUGCGGGUCCGCUUCGGACUCACACUCUGCACUUCCCCGGAGUCAUCACUCGCUGCACCCCAGUGCACGUGGACGAGUGUACCUGCGCCGUGCCUUCAGCUUGCUCUGCAUUGCGCUCACCUGAGGAAACCCAGCUGGAUGAGCCCGACCAUUCUCCUCCAAGGCCUCUGGAGAAACGUCACCAGCUGGCCUGAUGCGUUUCUGUUGGAACCCUUGACCACAUACGCAGAAAGAGCACUUCACACUCCUAAGCAAUCUCCAAGAGGGCAUGUCUCCCCGCUAUCAGAUAACUUCUCAGAUCCCUCUAGUUAAGCCUCCCAGAGGGGACCAAAACACCCAUCACCAAACCGCAGGCUCACCAAUCCAUCCCCUGCCUUUCACUUUCUCUCCAGAAAGUAGGCCUUCCUGUUUCUCUUCUCCUAUCAAAUAUAGUUGCUUCAGGGAACUGGAAUCCAUGCCUUUCUCCUGCAUUGUCAGUUUGCCCAUCUCCAUUAAAUAAUUUCCAAGAGCAUGCAAACACACUCUCUGUGUUCAUUGUAAAAGCAAAAGGCCUCCUUUACUCCAUCCCACCUCCCUGGGGACUCCACUAUUCCCUUAGUGACUGUGCCAGCACCUCAAUAUCAUCUUGUUUUAUUUCUUUUUCUCUCUUCCACCGAUUCCAU
rnacentral:lncRNA from 1 species